UACGAAGGGGGCUAGCGUUGUUCGGAUUUACUGGGCGUAAAGAGCGUGUAGGCGGCCAAGCAGGUCCGUUGUGAAAACUGGAGGCUUAACCUCCAGACGUCGACGGAAACCGCGUGGCUAGAGUCCGGAAGAGGAGAGUGGAAUUCCUGGUGUAGCGGUGAAAUGCGCAGAUAUCAGGAAGAACACCAAUGGCGAAGGCAGCUCUCUGGGACGGUACUGACGCUAAGACGCGAAAGCGUGGGGAGCGAACAGG
rnacentral:rRNA from 1 species